rnacentral:rRNA from 1 species
AUGGACGCUUGCUCUCCGGCCCUCGUCGUCGUCGGGGCGCUGCUCCUCCUCCUGGGGGCCUCGGCGCCGACGGCGUCCGCGGCGCGCGCCUUCUUCGUCUUUGGCGACUCCCUCGUCGACAACGGCAACAACAACUACCUCAUGACGACGGCGCGCGCCGACGCGCCGCCCUACGGCAUCGACUUCCCCACGCACAUGCCCACGGGGAGGUUCUCCAACGGGCUCAACAUCCCCGACAUCAUCAGCGAGUACCUCGGGGCAGAGCCCGCGCUGCCCUACCUGAGCCCCUACAUGCGAGGCGAGAACCUGCUCGUCGGCGCCAACUUCGCGUCCGCCGGCGUCGGCAUCCUCAACGACACAGGCGUGCAAUUCGUGAACAUCAUCAGGAUCGCGCAGCAGCUGCAGAACUUCCAGGCCUACCAGCGGAGGCUGGCGGCGUACAUCGGUGAGGACGCGGCGAGGGAGCGCGUGAGCCAGUCGCUGGUGCUCAUCACGCUCGGCGGCAACGACUUCGUCAACAACUACUACCUGGUGCCCUUCUCCGCCAGGUCCCAGCAGUUCGAGAUCCACGACUACGUCCCCUUCAUCAUCUCCGAGUACAAGAAAGUCCUCGCGCGGCUGUACGAGCUGGGCGCCCGGCGCGUGAUCGUGACGGGGACGGGGAUGAUCGGGUGCGUGCCGGCGGAGCUGGCCCUCCACAGCCUCGACGGGUCCUGCGCGCCGGACCUCACGCGCGCCGCCGACCUCUUCAACCCGCAGCUGGAGCGGAUGCUGACGGAGCUCAACGGCGAGGUCGGCCACGACGACGUCUUCAUCGCCGCCAACACCAACAGGGUCAGCUUCGACUUCAUGUUCAACCCGCAGCAGUACGGGUUCGCGACGGCCAAGAUCGCGUGCUGCGGGCAGGGCCCGUACAACGGGAUCGGGCUGUGCACGCCGGCGUCCAACGUGUGCGCCAACAGGGACGUGUACGCCUACUGGGACGCCUUCCACCCCACGGAGCGGGCCAACCGGAUCAUCGUCGCCAACUUCAUGCACGGCACCACCGACCACAUCAGCCCCAUGAACCUCAGCACCAUCCUCGCCAUGGACAACACCAGGAACUAG